AUGAAUUUCACAACAUUCUGUAGUUAUUGCUUCUAUACACUCGAUUUCAAAGCUUUUAUGUGUAGCCUCAAUAAACAUGAACUGAACCCCUACUAUUUUAUUGAUGCUUUACUGAAAAUCACUCCAAUCACUCUUUUUUCCAUUUUCAGAGGAGUUCUUCGUGUCGUGUCAGAUGAGGGCAUAUUGACUGACCAUCUAAUUACACUGUCAUUAAUACUGCAAUUCAAUACUGAUCUUGGCACUGAAUCAAGCAUAAAGACAAAAGACAUUCCCACUGGGCACCACUGAAGCAAAUGCUUCACAUCAUGUCCCCACCUGUCCCCCUUCUAAUCUAAGGCAUUCCAUGCCUUGGCAUCUGUAUACUGGAAAGCUGUGACAGCUCACUCAUGUCUAGGUCACUCUGACUUUUAGUUGUUGCCUGGAUGCUCAGACAAGAAAAAUGGCCAGUGUGGGGAAGAAGAAAAGACUGUCAUAUGCAAGUAACUCCAUGACAUGUGGAAUUCUACUGAUCUGAAUGUGCACUCAGAGCCCUAU
rnacentral:lncRNA from 1 species